UUUUGGCUUAGUUAGGAGGCAGAUAUUAAUUUGAUUUAAUUUCAGUGUUUUGUGACCGAGGCCUUUUGGAUUUCUCAAUCGAUUGUCCUCCAAGCAGCCUCACACAUUC